UUUCAGGUAUCCACGUUGUUUGAUGACCUGCGGGAUGGGUCAUUUUGGCGCCCCAACGUGGGGCACGAGCGAGUUUAGAAGCCUCAGUUCCUGCGCCGCUGGCAUCUGGCUGUAACACCCUGCUGUGACACUGAGCUGUAACACCCUGCUGUGACACUGAGCUGUAACACUGUGCUGUAGCACUCUGCCAUAAACACUGUGCUGUAACACUUAGCUGUAACAUCCAGCCCCUGUGCCUUUGUCGCCUGGAAAGCCUUGAGGUGAUCCUCGCUCAACGCACCCUGAAAACGAGGGAACCCCCUGAGGAAACAGGCAAAUCAUCAAGGACCAGCCGGUGGACUCAUCAAAUGCCCCUACACCGUCGUUGUAGCCUGUGGUGACGAUUAAGUGGAUUCCGGAGCUGAGUGGUUGUCAACGUGACUUCUGAAACGGAGAGAUGGCUAAGAAGUCCCGCACUAAAAAGUUUCUGAUAGAGUUUAAAAAUGUUCCCUUUUCCUUUUGCUGAAGAAGAAGACAGGAAUAUUAAUAAUUAUAGCUUGGGGGUGAGGGGAUUCCCUAUUUUCCCAAAAUAUGAUUCUCAUUGUUUAUCUUAUUCACAUGAGGUUUGGGGAGUGAGGUAUAAUCAUUCUUCUUUUGCAGCAACUACGGUUCUUAUUUCUGUAAGAGGCUUUGGGGGGAAGGUCGGUAAUAUUUCCGAGGCCGCUUCUACCCUGUUAUCUAUUUGCCCACUCCCUAAUGUAGAUCCUGAAGUGCAAUAAUUGGUAUAAACUUGUCGAGGAAAACGGCCUAAGAUAUUGUUAAAUCAUACAGACUUUAAGAUAGUGGACUGGGCCCUCUCAUAAUAUUACUAUUACUCAUUUCAUUAGGGCCUGUGAUAUUUAACAAACUCAUGGCAUUUUUAAAACAGCAAAUUGAAGCUGUUCUAGCGAAGCCUAUUCAAGUGCAUUACCAUCGUUUGGAAAUGUUAGACAAGGGUGGCCCACUCCCCAACUCGCCUGAGUGAUAAGACCCCCUUCCUUUGUGAGCUGGGCUGGACAGUCAGUGACGGGUAAGAUCAGGCACUGUUCAUACCAACCUAAGACAGGCCCUGUUUUGCCAGAAUGUAAUUAAAGGCAUUCCUCGAGACCCAUGACGGGUAAGGAUGAAUCAGUGACCUGACAACCUAAGACAGACGCAGUCCCCUAAAGGAUAUUCCAAACUUCAUUGCACGAAUACUUUGUGCUCGCUAUUAUACA